rnacentral:tRNA from 1 species
GUCUCGUUAGCUCAGUUGGUAGAGCAACUGGCUUUUAACCAGUGGGUCACAAGUUCAAAUCUUGUACGGGACACCA